UGGCGAACGGGUGAGUAACACGUGGGUGAUCUGACCCUGCACUUUGGGAUAAGCCUGGGAAACUGGGUCUAAUACCAGAUAGGACCAUGCUUUGGAUGGUGUGGUGGAAAGUUUUUUCGGUGUGGGAUGAGCUUGCGGCCUAUCAGCUUGUUGGUGGGGUAAUGGCCUACCAAGGCGGCGACGGGUAGCCGGCCUGAGAGGGUGGACGGCCACAUUGGGACUGAGAUACGGCCCAG
rnacentral:rRNA from 1 species